GAGGAUGAUCAGCCACACUGGAACUGAGACACGGUCCAGACUCCUACGGGAGGCAGCAGUGGGGAAUAUUGCACAAUGGAGGAAACUCUGAUGCAGCAACACCGCGUGGAGGAUGACACAUUUCGGUGCGUAAACUCCUUUUUAUAUGGGAAGAUAAUGACGGUACCAUAUGAAUAAGCACCGGCUAACUCCGUGCCAGCAGCCGCGGUAAUACGGAGGGUGCAAGCGUUACUCGGAAUCACUGGGCGUAAAGCGCGCGCAGGCGGCCUUUUAAGUUGGAUGUGAAAGCCUACGGCUCAACCGUAGAACUGCAUCCAAAACUAUUGGGCUAGAGUGUGGGAGAGGAAGAUGGAAUUAGUUGUGUAGGGGUAAAAUCCGUAGAGAUAACUAGGAAUACCAAAAGCGAAGGCAAUCUUCUGGAACAUUACUGACGCUGAGGCGCGAAAGCGUGGGGAGCAAACAGGAUUAGAUACCCUGGUAGUCCACGCCCUAAACGAUGAAUGUUAGUCGUCGGGUAGCUAGUCUAUUCGGUGAUGCAGCUAACGCAUUAAACAUUCCGCCUGGGGAGUACGGUCGCAAGAUUAAAACUCAAAGGAAUAGACGGGGACCCACACAAGUGGUGGAGCAUGUGGUUUAAUUCGAAAAUACGCGAGGAACCUUACCUAGCCUUGACAUAUAUUAGAACACCCUAGAGAUAGGGUGGUGCCUUCGGGAGCUUUUAUACAGGUGCUGCACGGCUGUCGUCAGCUCGUGUCGUGAGAUGUUGGGUUAAGUCCCGCAACGAGCGCAACCCUCGUCUAGUUACUAACGGUUCGGCCGAGGACUCUAGUGAGACUGCCCUCGUAAGGAGGAGGAAGGUGAGGACGACGCCAAGUCAUCAUGGCCCUUACGGCUAGGGCAACACACGUGCUACAAUGGCCAGGACAAUGAGAAGCGAUACCGCGAGGUGGAGCAAAUCUAUAAACCUGGUCUCAGUUCGGAUUGUAGUCUGCAACUCGACUACAUGGAGCUGGAAUCACUAGUAAUCGUAGAUCAGCUAUGCUACGGUGGAUACGUUCCCGGGUCUUGUACUCACCGCCCGUCACACCAUGGGAGUUGAUUUCACCCGAAGCGGGGAAGCUAAACUGGCUACCCUCCACGGUGGAAUUAGCGACUGGGGUGAAGUCGUAACAAGGUAACCG
rnacentral:rRNA from 1 species